ACAGCAGCCGCCGCGGGAAUACGAAGGGUGCAAGCGUUAAUCGGAAUUACUGGGCGUAAAGCGUGCGUAGGCGGUGAGUUAAGUCUGCUGUGAAAUCCCCGGGCUCAACCUGGGAAUGGCAGUGGAUACUGGCUCGCUAGAGUGUGUCAGAGGAUGGUGGAAUUCCCGGUGUAGCGGUGAAAUGCGUAGAGAUCGGGAGGAACAUCAGUGGCGAAGGCGGCCAUCUGGGACAACACUGACGCUGAGGCACGAAAGCGUGGGGAGCAAACAGGAUUAGAGACCCCCGUAGUCCCUGUCUCUUAUAC
rnacentral:rRNA from 1 species